UAGGGAAUCUUCCACAAUGGACGCAAGUCUGAUGGAGCAACGCCGCGUGAGUGAAGAAGGUUUUCGGAUCGUAAAGCUCUGUUGUUGGUGAAGAAGGAUAGAGGCAGUAACUGGUCUUUAUUUGACGGUAAUCAACCAGAAAGUCACGGCUAACUACGUGCCAGCAGCCGCGGUAAUACGUAGGUGGCAAGCGUUGUCCGGAUUUAUUGGGCGUAAAGCGAGCGCAGGCGGAAUGAUAAGUCUGAUGUGAAAGCCCACGGCUCAACCGUGGAACUGCAUCGGAAACUGUCAUUCUUGAGUGCAGAAGAGGAGAGUGGAAUUCCAUGUGUAGCGGUGGAAUGCGUAGAUAUAUGGAAGAACACCAGUGGCGAAGGCGGCUCUCUGGUCUGCUACUGACGCUGAGGCUCGAAAGCAUGGGUAGCGAACAGG
rnacentral:rRNA from 1 species